rnacentral:lncRNA from 1 species
GUUUCACAGGCGCCCACAUGAUAGGGGAGCUGGAGGAACCUGCCGUCUCCGCCAUCGAGCGCCCCUCCGAGCUGGGGUUGGACGCUGCCAGUUUGCACAGCAGCAGGUGACGCUGCAGAGGUGAGUGGCCGGGGCAUCCAGAGCUUCCCUGAAUGACUGGGCCACGACGAUGAAGGCGUCAGGGCUGCAGCCUGCUGGGCGUGCCCCAGCCAAGUUUUCAGGACGGCCUCUGCUUCUCCUUCGGGGAAGGAGCAGCCCUACUCCCUCUGAUGGGGCUGCCUGGGAGGGUUGGAUUUGUUGUUUGUAGGGAAAGACUGGGGCGGAGAGCAGGGUGCUGUGGCCCCUCUCGUCCCUUUCUGGUUCCUGGGGCUGUCCGCACAGAGCAGGUGGGGACACGCUGGCUGGAUUUCAUCUGGAUCAGAGGAGGGUGAGAGGAUGGUCUCCUGGUGGGGAGUGCAGAGCCUCAGCUCUGGAGUGUGGAGAAGGAUCCAGCUUGUUGGGUGGUGUAUGGUCAGAAGUGGGGACCUCGGGGCCUCAGAUCUGGCCUCUGAUCCCAACUCUGUUCCCCUCGGAGCCACCCUUCCCUCAUCCAUCAGGAGCCAGUAGCAGCCCCAGGACAGCUGCCGUGGGAUAAAUAAAAGGAGCCGCCUUCA